rnacentral:rRNA from 1 species
AUUGAACGCUGGCGGCAGGCCUAACACAUGCAAGUCGGACGAGUGGCGCACGGGUGAGUAAUGUCUGGGAAACUGCCUGAUGGAGGGGGAUAACUACUGGAAACGGUAGCUAAUACCGCAUACCAUCAGAUGUGCCCAGCUGGGCUUAGCUAGUUGGUGGGGUAACGGCUCACCAAGGCGACGAUCCCGAGCUGGUCUGAGAGGAUGACCCGCCAACAUGGAACUGAGACACGGGCCAGACUCCUACGGGAGGCAGCAGUGGGGAAUGUUGCACAAUGGGCGCAAGCCUGAUGCAGCCAUGCCGCGUGUAUGAAGAAGGCCUUCGGGUUGUAAAGUACUUUCAGCGGGGAGGCGUUACCCGCAGAAGAAGCACCUGCUAACUCCGUGCCAGCAGCCGCGGUAAUUC